rnacentral:rRNA from 1 species
UACGUAGGGUGCAAGCGUUAAUCGGAAUUACUGGGCGUAAAGCGUGCGCAGGCGGUUCGCUAAGACAGAUGUGAAAUCCCCGGGCUUAACCUGGGAACUGCAUUUGUGACUGGCGGGCUAGAGUAUGGCAGAGGGGGGUAGAAUUCCACGUGUAGCAGUGAAAUGCGUAGAGAUGUGGAGGAAUACCGAUGGCGAAGGCAGCCCCUGGCCAAUACUGACGCUCAUGCACGAAAGCGUGGGGAGCAAACAGG